UGGGGAUUUUGUUAAAAUGCAGAUUCUGAUUCAACAGGUCUGAGAAUCUGCUUUGCUAACAAACCCCCUAAGUCAUGUAGAGGUGCU
rnacentral:miRNA from 1 species